rnacentral:rRNA from 1 species
AGGUGCCAUCAUACCAACACUAAUGCAGUGGAUCCCAUCAGAACUCCGUAGUUAAGCGUGCUUGAGCGAGAGUAGUACUAGAAUGGGUGACCUUCUGGGAAGUCGUUGUGUUGCACCUU